UCAUUGUGAUGGUUAAUUUUAUUUGUUAACUGGGCUAAGGGAUGCCUAGAUAGCUGGUCAAACAUUGUUUUGCAGUAUAUCUGCUAAAACAUUUCCAAAAGAGAUUAGUGUUUGCAUCAGCAGACUGAGUAAAGAAGAUGGCCCUCAGCAAUGUGGGUGGGCAUGGCGUAAUCCGCUGAAGGCCCAGAUAGAAGAAAAAGGCGGAAAAAGGGACAAGUUGCAGCAAUCAACUCUGACUUAAACAAUAGCGAAAGGGCAUUGGUGAGGACACCAGGAAGCUGAUGAAUACACAGCCUUCAGCAACAUCGGGAGUCAGAGCUGCUCCAGGGAUCUUGGCAGGAGGGAUUUGUGGCUCUCCUUCCAGAAUGCUGUCAAGGGUGACAGAGGCCUAAGCACCUUUCAUCCUCAUGUAAUUUGUGCUCCAGAUUUGAAGACCAGGGUGGAAGAACCUCAUUGGCUUUCCUUAUGUCACCUGCUCUGCUAAUAGGUGGUAUCGUUUGAUUGGCACCUCUGCCAUUCCCACGUAGAGUGGAAAAGGGCAAUCAGACAGAAACAGAAGGUGCCGUCUGCCUCCCUCCUCCCUACCCCUUCCCCUGCCACCCACAACCCUACAGAUUGGGAAAGGUAGAAUUAGGAAGUAUGUUUAGAAUUUUUGGUGUGUGGUCUGGACCUCUAAGAUGGCUCAUCAUAGCCUAGCUGGAAAAUGGAAAGCCUCCGUCAGAAAUUAAAAAUCAAAUGUAACAGUGCUGUUGACUCUCAUACGACUCUCCUCCAGUCACCCUUCACUUGUCAUGUCAGUGUCAGCAUUUGUGGUAAUGGUUUGGGAUGUGGAAGGGGGAGUGAGAAGGGAGAUAAUCCUUCUUCUUCUCCUUCUUCUUCUGAGACAGGGUCUUGCUUUGCUCUCUCUCCCAGGUUGGAGUGCAGUAGCAUGAUCAUGGCUCACUGCAGCCUUGAACUCCUGGGCUCAAGCAAUCCUCCUGGCUCAGCCUCCUGAGUAGCUCAGGCUACAGGCAUGGACCACCCCACCUGGAUAAUUUUAUUUUUUACUUUGUAAAGAUAGGGCCUCGCUGUGUUGCCCAGGCUGGUCUCAGACUCCUAGGUUCAAAUGAUCCUACAGCCUUGGCCACUGCACCCAGUCUUGAUCUGACUUUUGAAGCACUAUGUAUUUACCGUACUCCAGCCUGGGCAACAGAGAGACAUCCUGUUUCUAAAUAAGUGUUAUCUCUUAGUGCUAUUUCUAUUCUUGUUGUCAGCUUGCAAGUUGAUAGCUGGGGUCAAAAGUGUGACAGUUGUUUGAGUCAGAUUUGGACCAGAACAUUUUCUGCCACUUAUUCCAAGGAGAUGGCAAGGGUCAGCGGGGGGUCCUAAAAGUCUCGGGUCCAGACAUUAAGUUUCUGCCUUCUGUAAGUCACCCAAAGAUCCCCAAAGUGUCCCAGCUGUAGAGACACAU
rnacentral:lncRNA from 1 species